CCUCCAUCACAAGCAGGGCUGAGAACGACUUCAUCAAAGGUCUCAUCUCAACAUCCCCUACUACUGAAGGUGUUUGGAUUGGACUGCGUAAAAAUGAACAAUCUUGGAGCUGGCUGGAUGGCUCUUUACUCACCUAUACAAACUGGGCCUCUGGCGAGCCUAACAACUUUGCAGGCUGGAUCUGUGGACGAGAGGAGUGUGUGGUGAUGUACUCCAAGAGUGGCAGCAAUUCGAUAAAUACAGAAAGGCGGGCAAGCGGAAAAUGGAAUGACAGACGCUGCGGGAAGAAAAAGCCUUACCUUUGCAAGAAACGUAAAACAUGACAUCCUAUCGGAUGUAAAAAAAAAAAAAUAUACCGGUACAGGAGUGUGCAGAAAUGUUAGCCAAAAUCACUAUGUAGUGACAAUCAGCAUUAGCACUAGUAGAUGUCAAAGGUCACUGUCAUGUCACAGAUGAGUUUGUCUAUUUGAAUAAUCAAGAAUAUAUUUAGUUGAUAAUACAUAAUGUUAGAAAAAGAUUGUUUGCACAGAAAAAAGCAACAGAUUCUGAAUUUAAUGAGGUCCUAUAUAAAACUAACGUCUGCAGACUAUGUAUUUUAGACUCUUCAGUUUAGUUCAGAUUGGAAACAGUUACUGUCCGGAAGCAGUUGGUAACUUCUUAGUUGCAAAUGUUUAUCAAACUGACACCUAGUAAUGAAAAUUGAAACAAAAAAGAUGCAUAUGCUAUACACUACUAUAUGGAUGAAUGAAACUGCAUAAUAAUAAAGAUGUGAAAAGCGUUAAGUUGUAUGAUGACAAGAGGUAUUUGUCAUCAAAAGUAGAGACAUCGAUGUUUAACUAUACAUGUUUUGUAGGAGGUACAAAAUGCCGAAAGUAACCAUUUUGUUGUUGUAACCCGUGUGUAGUGCCUGGUGGCACAUAGGGAAGCAAGUUUCCUUGCAGUUUCUGCGG